rnacentral:rRNA from 1 species
CCAGACUCCUACGGGAGGCAGCAGUGAGGAAUAUUGGUCAAUGGACGAGGGUCUGAACCAGCCAAGUAGCGUGAAGGAUGACUGCCCUAUGGGUUGUAAACUUCUUUUAUAAAGGAAUAAAACGAGGCACGUGUGCCUUUUUGCAUGUACUUAUGAAUAAGGAUCGGCUAACUCCGUGCCAGCAGCCGCGGUAAUACGGAGGAUCCGAGCGUUAUCCGGAUUUAUUGGGUUUAAAGGGAGCAUAGAUGGGUUGUUAAGUCAGUUGUGAAAGUUUGCGGCUCAACCGUAAAAUUGCAAUUGAUACUGGCAGUCUUGAGUACAGUUGAGGUAGGCGGAAUUCGUGGUGUAGCGGUGAAAUGCUUAGAUAUCACGCAGAACCCCGAUUGCGAAGGCAGCCUUCCGGCGCCCUACUGACGCUGAGGCACGAAAGUGCGGGGAUCGAACAGGAUUAGAUACCCUUGUAA